UGAAUCCGCGCGGGAGAGUCCCCAGCAGCCUUCGCUGGGGCGCCGAAGGAGCAAGUUCCUCCCUUGAAUCUCUCAGGCCCCGUUACCGCGCGGGCGAG
rfam:Streptomyces sp. FXJ1.172 contig00243, whole genome shotgun sequence.